AACGAACGCUGGCGGCAGGCUUAACACAUGCAAGUCGAACGCCCCGCAAGGGGAGUGGCAGACGGGUGAGUAACGCGUGGGAAUCUACCCAGAUCUUCGGAACAACCCAGGGAAACUUGGGCUAAUACCGGCAACGCCCUACGGGGGAAAGAUGUAUCGGUUCUGGAUGAGCGUGCGUUGGAGUAGCUAGUUGGUGGGGUAAUGGCCUCCCAAGGCGACGGUCCAUAGCUGGUCUGCGAGGAUGAUCAGCCACACUGGGACUGGGCCACGGCCCAGACUCCUACGGGAGGCAGCAGUGGGGAAUAUUGGACAAUGGGCGAAAGCCUGAUCCAGCCAUGCCGCGUGAGUGAUGAAGGCCUUAGGGUUGUAAAGCUCUUUCAGUAGGGAAGAUAAUGACGGUACCUACAGAAGAAGCCCCGGCUAACUUCGUGCCAGCCGCCGCAGUAACAC
rnacentral:rRNA from 1 species